UGACAGCCGGCUGGGGUUGGACCCUGGGUCCGGCUUCAGCCGCUCACGCCCAGUCCGGUGGGUGCGCCCUGGGGCGGCGCCGCCGCUUGCUCCUCCUCCUCCGCGGGGACACCGCUGCCCUCCUCCGCCCGCAGCCCCCAAGUCUCACCUGCAGAUCUGGGUCGCAGUGCCAGCGAGGUGCUGGGCCGCCAGCGAGGUGCUUGGCCUCCAUCGCACAUCCCUCCGCUGAGCUGCCCAGGGCAGAAACAGAGCAUCGCUGGGGUCCUGGGACCGGAGAGGAGGCGGGGACUUUCCAGCCCUGCGCUCGGGCAAAACCCAGAACGCCGAUCCGAGCCUGGUGUGCGGACGGGUCGGGGCAGAGGCUGUUCCAAAGCGGCCCCGGACGCCAGGACGCCCCUCCGCAGAGAGAAGGUGCUUCACUUGCGGGCACGCGGACUCGGGAGAGCACCUGCGGAGGCCUGUUCACCGUCUGCAAGGACCGCCCUUCUGCAUGCUUUCAUUCUGCUUUCCCUUCCCCACUCACACAGACGUAUUUAGGUCUACUGCUUUAUGUGGAUUUUAGACAUGACAUGCUUCAGAACCACUGGCGAGCUGAGCACCAUCUCCGUCAAGCUGGACUCAGAAUGACUCUGUGGUGGCCCUGAAGCCGCUGUCCACAGCGUUGCCUGUCCCUGCACACCAGUGGGAUGCUGCCUGUGGUCCUGCACUGUUCAGGGAAGAUGCACUGUUGCCCAUUGUGGGCACCAAGCUGUCUGGGUGUCCUGGAGGGAGGCAGGUGUUCCAUGGCGCUGCGCCCACUGCCUGUGUCCACACCACACUGUGUGUUGCAACGGAGCAAGCAGUCAUUCAGCUCACCCCGGGGUGUCCUGCGGGAGGUGUCCCCUUCCUUCUUCCCCAGCACACACUAAGAGGAUUCCCUCCCACACCUGGGUGUCCUGGACAAUAGCCCUGCUGACCCCUGCCCAUCAUGCACCCCUUGUUCCCUGACUGCUUCCUGAGAAUCCUGUUUCACACACCCUUCACAGAUGCAAGGAAAAGAUUUGUAGCAUACUUUAUUUUUUCAGCCUGGGACUCCAAUACAGAGCCUGGUGCAUGGUAGGAGAGCCCUCUAACCUUUGAACACAUCCCCAGUCCAGUUAUUUUCCUUUCUUAGAAGUUAUUUCUAGCUGUAUGGAGUUAGUAAAAACUUAAAGCAGAUAAUAAAACAAAUACAUUCUUAUUUUUUCCUGACUAAUUCACUUUAGAAUGGUUAUUAUACAAAGAAGGAUAUGAAGAAAGAAUAAAUACUGAGGGUGGAUACACAAUUAAAAGAUCAUAGCUGAGAUGGCAGACACUGGUGUAAAUGCUAGCCUCAUCCUCAGUGUGCUUGCAAGAGUGCAGGCGCUCACACGUGGGUCUGUAAAACCUGCGGCAAAUGUGAAGAGCUGCCCAGGUGCUCAAGUGAAGUCCCGGAUGGACCCCUGCUCUCUGUUCUCCCCUUGGGGUCUUACUUCAAAUGUCUGCUAAGGAUGGUUUGCACCCCACAUUGGUGGUCUCAGCCCUGGGGCUGGCAGCCUCUCUCCCCGGGACGCAAAGUCCCUUUCCCAUCCAGACUGCGGCCAGCAGUCUGCUGGUGUUGUGGUCUCCAGACCAGAUCUGCAUGGAAAAUCCCACUGGCCUUGUUGGGACGGCCUCCACUCUGCUGUGUGGAGGGACUGCGCCCACCUGCUGGCUGUGCAGGAACCCAGCCGACACUCUCCAGGGCUCCUGGUCUGUCUAAAGAUAGCAGCGAGGCGCGCUGCUGCUUAUUUUAGAGGGAACGCUGGUGAGGGCAGUAUUUUUAUCUCA